rnacentral:lncRNA from 1 species
AAAAAACAGGAAGCCAUUGUUGAAGCUUCAUUCAGCUAAUCUUAUUCCUUCAAAUUAGGUAUACAUUUUUGUCUCGGUUUUUUUUUAUGAUUUUUACGUUUUCGGGAUCGUUGUAGAUUAAUUCAGUUAGCCUGUACAUUUGAUUUUAAAACUGUUAAAGAUUUUAAAUGUUGAUAUUGAUGAGUCUUAUGAUUCUUUUUUAUGUUAAAUGAUGAAUUUGAGAUAUUAAUUGUUAUUUAAAAGUAUUUUAUUAAGUGAUUUUUGAUGAAUUUUUUGAUUAGGGGUUAAAUUGUUGAAAUAAUAAAAAUACAAGGGUUUGUUGUGAAAUUUUUACAAAUUAGGCUGUAUUGAAUGCCAUGAAUAUUCAACUAGCAUGGGUUUGCAUUAAAAAUGGUUAAUUUGCAUGUUUUGGGCUUAGGGACUAAAUUGAAUAAAAGUAAAAUUUUAGGGGUAAUUUUGUAAAAAUAUAAAAUAUUAAAUUUCAUAAAAUAAAUUAUUUUAUUGUUUAAAUUAAUAAAUUGAAUGAAAUUAUUAAUUUAAAUCAAGAUUGGGUGAAAAAUCGAGGAAAAUAUAAAAUUAUCAAAAUGCUCCUAAAUCUUGGUAUUUUUGCAAUUUAGCCAGGUAAGUUCAUACAGUUAAAUUUAACAUUUGUAUUAAUUGGUGAUUGGUAUUAUAUAUAUUCUAUUGUUGGAAAUGAAUUAUUGUUUGAAUUAUAGUAUUGAAUUGGAUAUUCGGUUUGAAUUGAACGCGAGAUUUAAGUACAUUUGUAUUUUGGUGUAUGACGGGGGUUUGGAGUGGAGAUUUAGAGGGAGAUAUCGGUAUAUUACCCAAGUAAACUGGGGUUCAGCAUUUGUUGCGAACUCUCGUGUUUUACUUUCUGUUUGGAGUGAUUUUGGUGGAUUAGCUCUUACAAGCUUCUAUUCAGCUUUCACGAGCUUCUGUUGGCGUGUUCUGGUGGAUUAGCUCUAUGAACUUCUGUUGAUGAUGUACUCUUAUCCAUAAGUCGUUCUUUGAAUCGAAAAUCUCGAUAAGGUAAUCUGUUUAAUGAAUUUUGAAAGAUUUAUUAUUUGUUGAAUAUUGAUCUGAACAUAAAUGAAUUCAAUAGUUUAGAUUGUGGAUGAUGCAUAGGUUUAUGCUAAGCUUAUAGUUACAUUAUCUCAUGUUUAAUAUUAAUGAUAUACAAUGAAAUGAUAAAUGAAAAAAAUGGGAAUAUGCUUAUAUUCAUGAAAAGCUGGUAUGAAUCAAAAGGUGAAUUUUUUAUAAAAUGGUUUAUCAUGCGAUUGACUCCAAAUGAGUUGUAUACUUAAAUGCACUAACUUGUGUAUUGAUGAUGGUGAUUAGGCUUAUGUCAAGCUUGAGAUCAUGAUUGAUGUUUAUGCUUAUAUCUGGUAUUAUAUAAAUGAAACGGCUAAGAAAAAGUAAUGAAACGGUAAGUUCAUUAUUGAAAUGUGAUAUGACGAAAAAGGGAUUGAUGAAUUGAGUGAUGUACUUAUAUAUGAGAAAUUACGUAUGUUAUGGAUGAACUUACCUAUGAUGUGAAUAAAUAUACUAAUCAGUGAGUUGAUGUUGUUAUUUAAGUUUAUGCUUACUAAGUGGAAUGGAAAGUAAGUAAAUGAAGUAAUUCAUAGUUCUUUGAAAAGGUUAAUGAUAGUGUAUAAUGUUUAUAAAAUCCUAUUAAGUUAGGAAUGAAAAAUAUAUAUUUAUGAUGUUGAUAGACUUAUUCAUUUAUAAGUUGAUGGUUAUGUAGUUGACAAAUCUUGAGGCAUUGGUAUAGGUUUAUAUUUAAUCUAUAAAGUUCAUUGAUGAAAUGGAAUGUUAUGUUUAAAGUUUAUACAAGCUUACUAAGCAUUCAUUGCUUACACAUUUGUUUUUCCUUUACUUUUCAGAUUAUCGGAAGCUCGAUCGGGUUGGAAACUUGUCGGAGCUAUAUCACACUAUCCAUCAGUUUUAUCGGUACUUUUGGAUGUUUUGAUUUUAGUUAUAAUGGCAUGUAUAGGUAUUUUGUUUAAUGUUGGCCUAUAUGUAAUUUGUUGAGAUAGUCACUUAUUUUGGCUUGUUUUGGAUGCCUAAUUAUGGCUUGUUGAUAUGCAUAAUGUUGAUUGUAGGUUGACACCAAAUUGGGUGAGAAAUAUGACUUGUAAAUUGACCUAUUUUAGUCCACACGGGCAGAGACACGGGCGUGUGUUUCAGCCAUGUGUGACACAUGACCAGAUGACACGGUUGUGUGUCCCCUAUAUCUUUUAAAGAGUGUAAGUCUGUAUAUUCACACGGCCUGACCACCGAC